rnacentral:rRNA from 1 species
UACGUAGGGUGCGAGCGUUAAUCGGAAUUACUGGGCGUAAAGAGUGCGUAGGCGGAGAUACAAGUUAGAUGUGAAAUCCCCGGGCUUAACCUGGGAAUGGCAUUUAAGACUGUAUGUCUAGAGUUAGUAAGAGGAUGGGAGAAUUCCGAGUGUAGCAGUGAAAUGCGUAGAGAUUCGGAGGAAUAUCGGUGGCGAAGGCGCCCAUCUGGGAUAUAACUGACGCUGAGGCACGAAAGCGUGGGGAGCAAACAGG